AUAUUGGACAAUGGGGGCAACCCUGAUCCAGCCAUGCCGCGUGUGUGGAGAAGGUCUUCGGAUUGUAAAGCACUUUAAGUUGGGAGGAAGGGCUUUAGGCUAAUACCCUGAAGUUUUGACGUUACCUACAGACUAAGCACCGGCUAACUCUGUGCCAGCAGCCGCGGUAACACAUAGGGUGCAAGCGUUAAUCGGAAUUACUGGGCGUAAAGCGCGGGUAGGGUGUUUAGUAAGAUGGGUGUGAAAUCCCCGGGCUUAACCUGGGAACUGCUUUCAUAACUGCUGAGCUAGAGUACGGUAGAGGGUAGUGGAAUUUCCUGUGUAGCGGUGAAAUGCGUAGAUAUAGGAAGGAACACCAGUGGCGAAGGCGACUACCUGGACUGAUACUGACACUGAGGUGCGAAAGCGUGGGGAGCAAACA
rnacentral:rRNA from 1 species